rnacentral:rRNA from 1 species
UACGAAGGGGGCUAGCGUUGUUCGGAUUUACUGGGCGUAAAGCGCACGUAGGCGGAUCGAUCAGUCAGGGGUGAAAUCCCAGAGCUCAACUCUGGAACUGCCUUUGAUACUGUCGAUCUGGAGUAUGGAAGAGGUGAGUGGAAUUCCGAGUGUAGAGGUGAAAUUCGUAGAUAUUAGGAAGAACACCAGUGGCGAAGGCGGCUCACGUGGCCCGGUACUGACGCUGAGGCGCGAAAGCGUGGGGAGCAAACAGG